rnacentral:rRNA from 1 species
UACGGAGGUGCAAGCGUUAAUCGGAAUUACUGGGCGUAAAGCGUGCGUAGGCGGUUCGUUAAGUCUGUUGUGAAAGCCCCGGGCUCAACCUGGGAAUGGCAAUGGAUACUGGCGAGCUAGAGUGUGUCAGAGGAUGGUGGAAUUCCCGGUGUAGCGGUGAAAUGCGUAGAGAUCGGGAGGAACAUCAGUGGCGAAGGCGGCCAUCUGGGACAACACUGACGCUGAGGCACGAAAGCGUGGGGAGCAAACAGG